rnacentral:rRNA from 1 species
UACGUAGGGUGCAAGCGUUAAUCGGAAUUACUGGGCGUAAAGCGUGCGCAGGCGGUUUUGUAAGACUGUCGUGAAAUCCCCGGGCUCAACCUGGGAAUGGCGAUGGUGACUGCAAGGCUAGAGUUUGGCAGAGGGGGGUAGAAUUCCACGUGUAGCAGUGAAAUGCGUAGAUAUGUGGAGGAACACCGAUGGCGAAGGCAGCCCCCUGGGCUGACACUGACGCUCAGGCACGAAAGCGUGGGGAGCAAACAGG